CACGUAGGGCGCAAGCGUUGUCCGGAUUUAUUGGGCGUAAAGAGCGUGUAGGCGGCCAUGUAGGUCUGGUGUGAAAACUCGAGGCUUAACCUCGAGAUGUCAUCGGAAACCAUUUGGCUAGAGUCCGGAAGAGGAGAGUGGAAUUCCUGGUGUAGCGGUGAAAUGCGCAGAUAUCAGGAAGAACACCAAUGGCGAAAGCAGCUCUCUGGGACGGUACUGACGCUGAGACGCGAAAGCGUGGGGAGCGAACAGG
rnacentral:rRNA from 1 species